rnacentral:rRNA from 1 species
UACAGAGGUGGCAAGCGUUGUUCGGAAUUACUGGGCGUAAAGGGCGCGUAGGCGGCCCGUCAAGUCCCGUGUGAAAGCCCCCGGCUCAACCGGGGAACGGCGCGGGAAACUAGCAGGCUUGAGUUCGGGAGAGGGAAGCGGAAUUCCGGGUGUAGCGGUGAAAUGCGCAGAUAUCCGGAGGAACACCGGUGGCGAAGGCGGCUUCCUGGACCGGUACUGACGCUGAUGUGCGGAAAGCGUGGG